AGAGUUUGAUCCUGGCUCAGGAUGAACGCUGGCGGCGUGCCUAAUACAUGCAAGUCGAGCGAACAGAUAAGGAGCUUGCUCCUUUGAAGUUAGCGGCGGACGGGUGAGUAACACGUGGGUAACCUACCUAUAAGACUGGGAUAACUUCGGGAAACCGGAGCUAAUACCGGAUAACAUUUAGAACCGCAUGGUUCUAAAGUGAAAGAUGGUUUUGCUAUCACUUAUAGAUGGACCCGCGCCGUAUUAGCUAGUUGGUAAGGUAACGGCUUACCAAGGCGACGAUACGUAGCCGACCUGAGAGGGUGAUCGGCCACACUGGAACUGAGACACGGUCCAGACUCCUACGGGAGGCAGCAGUAGGGAAUCUUCCGCAAUGGGCGAAAGCCUGACGGAGCAACGCCGCGUGAGUGAUGAAGGGUUUCGGCUCGUAAAACUCUGUUAUUAGGGAAGAACAAAUGUGUAAGUAACUGUGCACAUCUUGACGGUACCUAAUCAGAAAGCCACGGCCAACUACGUG
rnacentral:rRNA from 1 species